CCUACGGGGUGCAGCAGUGAGGAAUAUUGGUCAAUGGACGAGAGUCUGAACCAGCCAAGUAGCGUGAAGGAUGACUGCCCUAUGGGUUGUAAACUUCUUUUAUAUGGGAAUAAAAUGUUCCACGUGUGGGAUUUUGUAUGUACCAUAUGGAUAAGGAUCGGCUAACUCCGUGCCAGCAGCCGCGGUAAUACGGAGGAUCCGAGCGUUAUCCGGAUUUAUUGGGUUUAAAGGGAGCGUAGGUGGAUUGUUAAGUCAGUUGUGAAAGUUUGCGGCUCAACCGUAAAAUUGCAGUUGAAACUGGCAGUCUUGAGUACAGUAGAGGUGGGCGGAAUUCGUGGUGUAGCGGUGAAAUGCUUAGAUAUCACGAAGAACUCCGAUUGCGAAGGCAGUUCACUGGACUGCAACUGACACUGAGGCUCGAAAGUGUGGGUAUCAAACAGGAUUAGAUACCCGAGUAGUC
rnacentral:rRNA from 1 species